rnacentral:lncRNA from 1 species
AUCGGUCUAAGGCCGUCGCCGACCAAUUCGCCACUUGCUCCACCAAAGGCCUGGUCCUCCGCCACUCGGUACCUGCUCCUCCACCUCCAGUACAUGCACCGUCGCUGCCCAGUAUGUGUGCCUCCGUGAUCCACUCCUGCCGCCACCGCCAAGGACCUACGCCGCCAAGAUCCGGUCGAUCUCGUCAUCAUCAAACUCCCGCGCAUGCCUGGACGUCAAGCUAGUCCUCCUCCUUCUCCCGUGUCGCCAGGCUCGUUCUACUGCUCCCCUAGUGAUCAAGGUUCCGUCGGAGAUACCCUGCUACCCACUUCCUCUACUGCCGCCGGAGCUGUCGUGUGAUCUACUCUUCCACUCACAACACCUACUCUCCAUGACCAGGCGAUGCUCCUCCUCCACGCCCAACACCUCACUUCUCACCCAGCAGCAGAUCCUCUACUUCGCACCUAUAGAUCAAGUGGAGACUAGUCAAUCUGAGUAUGAGCAACAGGUAAAUUUAUCAAUACACAGGAGUAUCAUUUGUAGCAGUAGUAUCUGUAGGAGCAGUAUCUUCUGUAGUAGCAAUUGAUCAGUCUCAACAGUAAUCUAUAGUAAUAUCAAAGAUCAAACUUGCCACGCGCCUCUCCUCUUCGGGUACAACAUUUUUUUGAUGUUUUAAAACAUGAGCAAACUGAACAUCAUAACAUGUUUCAGUUAGAAUGACCAAUACUGUGAAAUUUCAGAAACUGAAUUAGAAACGUGUUUUCCAAGAUGUGCGUAUGCACAGUAUUGUAAAAGUACAAUAGAAUAUGAUUUGUACUUGAAAUUAGGAUGAACAGUAAACUAGUAAUGAAAGUAAACUAUAAUUUGUUAUAAAGAUUUUCCUACUAAAAAUAACGGGAUGGAUAGAAAAGGGUGAAAAGAUAACUGAAUGCUAGGCUAAAAUGGACAGUAAACUGAUAAUGACUAUUGCCAACAAGAGUAGGAAAAUGUGAGCUUCUAAAAUUUGUUACAUAAAUUUUCCUAGUGAAAAGAUAACUGAUUUUCGUGUACUGAAAAUUUAUAGUGCCGAGUUCAGGAAAGUUUACUCAAUUUUGUGGAGCACUCAAAGUGCUUUGAACUAAUAAAUCAUUAAAGUUCAAAGCCUAGAGAAUCAUCAAAGUUCAGCAAUAAGCAUCAAUCCAAAAUCAUCUAUAUGCAUUCAAAAAAUAAAAAUUCAACAAAUUUGGUGUCAAGCUUAUUUCUAUCAAAAUUUAAAUUGAAAAAUAUCAAGGUUUCCAUUGAAUGAACAGAGUUUGGGCACUGAAUUUGUAAGCCAUGGUAUAAUGAGCUUGGGCUUACAAAUUUUCAGUAGUUUUGACACUUGCUUGCAAAUUCAGUAGUUUUUUCCUAUUCCUAAUGUUUCCUGAUUUUUAAACUUGCUUGCAAUAAGCUUGCAGUACACUUUUAAAUUCAGAUCAGAAGCCAAGAUGUAAAACUGAAUUUUAACUAAACUUUUACUCCAAGAAUAGGAGUAUCAUGCAUGCUUAACUAGAUUUUUAACAUAAUCGCUCUCUUGGUUUAGGAGUACUUAAUUUCAAUCUCUCUCUUAGCCUAGGAGUACUGAAUUUUUGUAGUAGAUUUGCACUGAUUUUCCAAGCACAACCAGUAUCCAUUCAUUUACACUUCAUUCAAUCAUAAAGAAAGAAAAUGCUCACAUGAUAAAUUUUAUUCAAACAUGAUAAAUUUAGGACAAAAUCACACACACACCAGCUCUAGUAACAUGAUAAUCCAUGAAUGGAGACAAUUAGACAGACAUGCUUAUCAUAUUCACACAUGAUAAUCCAUUAAUGGAGACAACUAGACAAACACACACAACCACCACUAGCAGAUGGAAUUGUACAACACAAGCAGAGAUAGGGAUUGUACAACCUGAAGGUCGACGAUGAGGUCGUACAGAUCAGAGAGGUAGCAGCAGUUGCCGCCGGCUAGGUGUGCCAGCACGGCGUACGCAAAUACACUUGUGAGUUUUACAAAUUGAAAAUUAUGACCGCGGUGUAAUCCGAGACAGAGGACUGCACAAAAUGAUGAAUCAUUGGAAGGUCUGAUUAACUAAAUUCACAGCUAGUGAACAUGGAAACAAAGGAAUGUAACAACUCGCGUUUUGGAAAUUACAUGGAAGUACAAAGUCUUAGUUGAGAAGCAGAUUACCUUGAGAACUUCAUGUUAAUAGCCAGGAUCUUCAUGCUUUGCUUACAAGCUGAUAUCAAUUUCACAAGGAGAUAUCAACUUUUUAGUUUUGAAAGUCAAGCAUCUUGACCUAUGCUCUGUCGUCGUGGGAGGUGGUAGCUCUCCUACCAACGCAAGAUGGGCGAUGAAGGCGGGGAUGGUUGUUGCUGCUUUCGGGGGAGAGCUUCUGCCGGCUCUAAUGGAUAGUGGUGGUCAAGAAGGAUGAGGUUGGCGGUGAGGUGGACAGUGGUGUCUGUUGAGCGGCAAGACGGGGGACGGAUUCAUUGUCGGUGGAGGUGAGCCGACGAGGAGGUAGUCCACGAAGGACAGGUCUAGCUUCGGCUUGCCACCCUCGGACGUCGUGCUGGUCGCUGUUGGAUGGGCAGGGCCAGAUCAAAAAAAGCAAGUGUUCGCCUGGCCGUGGUUCACCAUGGGGAACGAGGAGACGAACAAAGAGGGGAAGCAGCAUAGGCGUGGGCCGGGGCAGGUCCGGCGAGGGAGAAGAGCAGGGGAGACGAGCUUUGGAGCUCAAAUGCAGAGGAGACGAGUGGGGGAGCUUCGAUUGAGAGGAGACGAGCACGAGACGCGAGUAGUGCGGGUUGUGUCAGGAAUUUCCCGAGGGUUUUCGUGCAAAAUUGCCAGCACGACAAGAAUUACGGGAUGGAGGGAGUAGGAGGCAUGAUAUCAUUAUAAUAAUUUUGCUCAUCAAAAUUUGAGGAACUAAAAAUAUCAUCUUUAUCAAACAUAGCAUCCCCAAACUUGUGGCUUUGCAUAUCGUUAGCAUCAUGGAUAUUCAUGAAAUUCAUACUAAUAAUAUUUCUAUAAUGCUCAUCAUUCAAGGAUUUCACAUUAACAUUUUUAUAAAUUCUUCCUCUAACAACUGAGUACAAUUUUCUGAACCAUCAUUUUCACGAAACUCAUUAUAAAGGCGAAGCAAAUGAGGCAACCUAAAUUCCAAAUUUAGUAGUUUUCUUUAUAUAACCAAAAAAGUGAAAAACAAGAAAAUAAAAGAUUUAAUUGCAAGAUCUAAAAAUAUACCUUCAAGCACUCACCUCCCCGUCAACGGUGUCAGAAAAGAGCUUGAUAUCUACUAUGCAACUUUAUUCUUGCAGAUGUUGUUGGGCCUCCAAGUACAAAGUUUGGUAGGACCUAAGGUUUAUCAACCCGUGGGAGGUUUAGGAUGAAGAUGUUCUCUCUCGAACAACCCUGCAAUCAAAUACAGGAAAGUUGUUGUGUCCCCAACACAUCAAAUACAAUGGAAAAUUGUAUAGGUGCACUAGUUCCGUGAAGAGAUAGUGAUACAAGUGUAGUAUGGAUAGUAGAUAUAGGUUUUUGUAAUCUGAAUAAAUAAAAACAACAAGGUAAUAAUUAAUAAACAACAAGAAAAACGGUAUAUAAAUGCUUGAUAAUAAAGCCUGGGUUCAUACUUUCACUAGUCCAAUCUCUUAAUACUGCUAACAUAGUAGAAUCAUAUGAUCAUCCCUCAGUGUGCAACAAAGAAUCACUCCAAAGUUCAUAAGUAGCGGAGAAAAUAAGAUGAAAUUGUUGUAGGCAGCUAGCCACCUCAAAGUUAUUCUUUCCGAUCAAUCUUUUGAGCUAUUCCUAUAAGUGUCACAAACAGCCUUAGAGUUCGUACUAGAAUAACAACCAUGAUACAUAGCAAUCAACCCUAAUGUCACCUAGAUACUCCAAUGUCACCUCACGUAUCCAUGUGCUAAUUAUACAACAUGCAUCAAACAAUUUUAAAUUCUUCAUAUUCAAACAAACACAAAGAACUUGAAAGAUCACCCCAAGAUUUCUAUGAGAGAACAUAGUUUGAAAACGUGCAAUCAACCCCUAUGCAUAGAUCCCCAAGGUCACCGGAAUCCACAAGUUGAUGUCAUAACAAUAUCAUGUGAAUCAAUAGAAUACCCCAAUGUCAAUACGGCUAUCCGCAUGCAAGACAUGCAUCAAGUGUUCUCAAACCAAAAAUAUUCAAUCCAACAUAACGAGAUCUCAAUGAGAAAGAUUCAAUUCGUCACAACAAGAUAGCAAGGGACAAACACCAUAUGAUCCAACUAUAUUAACAAAGCCAGUGAUACAUCAAGAUAGGGACAUCUCAAGAACACGAGAGAGAGAGAGAUGAAACACAUAGCUACUGGUAAAAACCCUCAGCCCUGAGGCUGAACUAUUCCCUCCUCAUCACGGCCUCCGCCGGAUGAUGAAGAUGGCCACUGGAGAUGAUUUCCCCCCUCCGGCAGGGUACUGGAAAGGCUCCAGAUGGGUUUUCGUUGAUACAUAGAGUUAUGGCAGCAUAUGAGAAGUUCUCUAUUUAAUUCUGAGUUUUUAUGUAUAUAUGCGAUUUUUUGGCGUUUGAAUCGCGCUAAAUGGAGCCACGGGGGCCACACAAGGCAUGAGGGCGCAACCCUGGGGGUGGUCGUGCCCUGUUGCCUUGUGGCCCAUAGGUGGCUCCCCUUUGGUGGUUCUUUGCUCCAAUAUUGCUCAUAUGUUCCAGAAAAAAUCAUGAAAAAGUUCCAGCCGAUUCCGAGAACUUUCAUUUUCUACACAAAAAACAACACCAUGGUAAUUCUGCUGAAAACAGCGUCAGUCCAGGUUAGUUCGAAAUAAGUCACAAAAGUGCAUCAAAGCCAUAUAAAAAAUAUUGUAAACAUAGGUGAAUAUUGCGUGAAUACUUCAUACAUUAUUUAUACAUUGUAGAUGUAUCACCAACCCCUCCAACAUGAGGGGUAGGUGAGUCACUGCGUUGAAAUCAUCACCGCGAGCGAUCUGGAUGGCCACUCAGUAAUCCUUGAGCCAAGUCUCCGGCUUUGACUCGCUACUGAACUUACUAAUUCUCCUGUCCUACCUAUAGUUGGAGGGUAUCUCAGCCUCACAGAUGUGCGUGUCAAGUACUCGAGGCCGGAGAUGCCUCAACCACCCGACUUCCCUCUGCCAGCCCAAGCUUUGCCAACCACACUUUGGGUGAUGAUGGACCUUGCAAUGAACGAGGGAGUUCGGUUAUCAUCCUCUCCAUGGACUCUAUGCCGGUAGAGGCUCUACCUAUGGUCAUCUGCAUAAGGCCGCUUGUUGUUGUAGGACCACUGUCCGAAUGAACCACCCCUAGGAGGGGGCGUCCAACUACGGAUGCGGUCAUCGUGCCUCCUAUCUAUGUACUAGCCUCUCAGAGGAGAAUGAGAUCUUCGAUGCCUUCCAGGUGCAAGCGGGCAAUGAGCCAACUGCAACAUGUCAGCCCGGACUGAAUUGUUGUAGAUGUGGAUGUGCGAUUGUGACAUCUUGGAGUUUUUCUCCAAGGCAGUCUUCAGAAGUGCAUGAAUUUGCCGAAUGCCUUUCCUGGCCCUAAAUCAGACAGCUAGCCAUAGGAAUAGCUCAAUAGAUUGAUCAAAAUAAAUAGUGUUGACGUGGUUCUACUACCUACAAAAAUUUCAUCUUAUGUUCUCCGCUACUUAUGAACUUUGGAGUGAUUCUUUGUUGCACGUUCAGGGAUGAUCAUAUGAUUUUGUUAUGUUAACAUUGUUGAGAGAUUGCACUAGUGGAAGUAUGAACCUUAGGCCUCAUUUCUAAGCAUUGCCACAACAUUUAUGCUCGCUUUAACUAUUUGUUACCUUCUGUUUUUAUAUUUUCAUAGUACAAAAACCAACAUCUACUAUCCAUACUACACUUGUAUCACCAUCUCUUUGUCGAACAAGUGCAUCUAUAAAAUUAACCAUUGUAUGGGUGUGUUGGGGACACAAGCUAAGUUGUCAGAACCGCGACUCAACUUAGAAUCAGUUGAUCUGACGGUCCAAACUAGUCCCUCUGAUUCUGCAAUUUUGCUCAUAGAAUCUAAAUUUCUAUGAUCCUGAUAGUUAUGAUUCUACGAUUCACGAUCCUAGCAACGGAGCUCUGAUCCGAUUCAGGAUCACGAUUCUGACAACUUUGGACACAAGAAAUUUCUUGUAUUUGAUUGUAGGGUUGUUUUAGAGAGACCAUUUUCAUCCUACACCUCCCACUGAUUGAUCAACCUUAGGUCAUCCACUUGACGGAAAUUUGUUGUUGUCCAACAAAACUCUACGCUUGGAGGCCCAAUAACGUCUACAAGAAUAAAGUUGCAUAGUAUACAUCACCAACUCCAAGUUCCCGAUGAAUGUGGUUAGGCGAACAUGUACUUCACACUUUUGUUCCCUUUGCCACACGAUAUAUGUUGUCGUGCUCAAGGCAACAUGCCCAUCCUUGUUGCAGCAUGACCUCUUUCUCGUUCAAGUGAAUCCGGCCAACACUUAAAUUAUCUCAGAAUUCUCAUUGCAUGUCCAUACUUAUCCACCCCGGAUCACCCGAGGGCCCCAGAGAAUAUCUCUCCUCAUUGGAGGGAAAAUCCCAUCUUGCUCGAGCAUGUGUCGUAGCAUGGGCCUAGUGUAGGAUCGAUAGUAUGUCUAGAUGGGGGGUGAUUAGUCUAAUUGACAAGAUAAAAACUUAGCCUUCUCCCAAUUUUUACUGUGGGCCAGUUUAAGCAACUAUGACUAGUCAAAUACACCCUACACAUGCAUAUAUAAGAGUAUAGCAGUGGAAAGUAAAACAUGCAAGUGUAAAGUAGAGGGUAAGGUAGGGAGAUCAAACAAAAAGGUUGACACGGCAAUUUUUGGCACGGUUCCGAUAGGUGGCACUAUCAUACGUCCACGUUAGUGGAGACUUCAACCCAUGGAGGGUAACGGCUGCGAGAGUCCACGAAGGGCUCCACCCACCAGGGGUCCACGAAGAAGCGGCCUUGUCUAUUCCACCACGGCUUCCGUCCACAUAUAACUAGCCUCACACACGGUAGAUCUUCACGAAGUAGGCGAUCUCCUUACCCUUACAAACAUCUUGGUUCAACUCCACAACAUGAAGUAGGAGACUCCCAAGCGACACCUAACCAACCUAGGAGGCACCACCCUCCAAAAGGUAAUAUAUGUGGUAGAACGAUGAAGUCCUUGUACUUGUGUUUCAAAAUAUAGUGUCCUCAACAAUCAAUCACUCUCUCUGAUCUGGCAGGGGUGGGAGAGAUUUAUAUUGUCGAAAGCAACAUGGGGAGCCUAGAAAUUAAGGUUCAAAUGAUUGGAAUGGGAUAUGUUGAUCUCAACACAUGAGUAGGUGGCUCUCUCUCAGAAAAAUGUAUCUAGCAAGUGUAAGUGUAUUCUUAGUGCUUCCACUACGAAUGAGAGGUAGGUGGAUGGGUAUAUAUAGGCAUUCCUCAAAAUCCAACCGUUAUAACAUUAUUUCCCAACUCGGUGACACUAAAAUUAAUCUUGAUGGUAUUAAGUUGCAUUAAAUGUGGCAACUUUUGAAUUCUCGGUGAAACCGAUAUAGGAAUCUCGGUGGUACCAAUACGAUAACCUAGACUGGUUGCCAAACUCGGUGAGACCAACUUAAAACUCGAAAAUUCGAAAAAUUGAAAUUAUCUCAACGAAAUGUUGGUCACGCAAUCUUGGUGGCACCGAUGGAAUUGUUGGUUGUACCGAGAUGGUGGAUUUGGCAUAGGAUCUGUCUAAGUGUAAAAUCGGUAUGGACGAGUAGGAAAUGUAGGUGGCACCGAUUUUGUAUAUUUGACUUGGGACAGAUAUAUUAUGUGGGAAAGUGGGUGAGUGUUUUUCGUGGCUAUCUCUAAGCACUUGAGCAAACAAUUCAUCAUAAUACCUCAUCCCAUUAUAAUAGUAUUGGCUCUCCUAUGGACUCAAAGUGAUUUCUCACAAAGUGUAAAAUGAAGAGUCUUCUUGCUUGAAGCUUUAGCCGAUCCUAUUCCUUCUCUUGCAUCAAAGGGGCAUCUCCAAACAAUCCUAUAGCCAGAGCAUCUUUAAACUAUUCUGAAAUGUACUUGGAUAAAUUCAUUUUUCCAAUGGUGCAUAUGUUGUGAUAAAUUACAAAAACCACCUUAGGGAGAAAUUGUGCUUUCAAUCUCCCCUUUUUUGGUAACUGAUGACAACAUAUAGAUCAAAGCUUCAAAAAAGAUAUAAUCAAUUAUUAGAAUCGAUGCUUUGAGAGGUAUGUAAAAAGCAAGAGCUCCCCCUAAAUUUGUGCAUUAUUUUAAAUUUGCGUUUGAAUGCAAAUGCACAAUCGAUUAGGAUUAUGGGUUACUCUUCCAUGUCACAUACAACUCGGUGGUGCGCAUAAAUGAUAAGAAUGAAUAAGAAUACACAUAGCACCAACAAACAAGUCAAUGAUCAUGAUGUAGAUAACUCAAAGGUAAAAACGUGGUAGCAUCAAACAAUCAAAGCAUAUGAUCAAACACACAUCUAAACUGAUAAUGUCAUCCAAAAGAUAAAAACUUGUUUUGAAAACCAAACGAGAGCAAAUAAAGUCAAAUUCUCUCCCUCUCUCGAAUCCCUGUGAUCUAUACACUUCUCCCCCUUUGGCAACAAGUACAAAAAAGUUCAAAGGUCUAAACUAAGCAUCUCUCUAGGCACAAUCUCCUCCGGUAGCAGAAGUUGGAGUAGACAAGGGAGCAUCGACGAAGGCUUCAACAAAUGUCGCUGGAGAAGGAGCUCGAGGAGUAGAUACUGGAGGUGCAGGACCAGGAGCUGAGGCUUGAGUUGAUGAAGACAGUAUUUCUUCUAGUACUGGCACAACUGCUGACCUGGUCUGGGUCGUGAACCGUGUGGUAGUGCGAAGAGGUGAAUCAUUACCAUCAUUUUCAUCAUCAUCUGAGCGUGGAAUCUUCACUGAGUCAACUUCAUGUUGAAGCUGCUCAACAGUGGUGGUCAACUCCGUUACCUUCACAUCCAGGUCAUGGAAUUUUGGUCGAUCCUCUAUAAACUCUUCUUGUUCAGCAAGAUCUCUGAAAUAUUAUUCUCCAUCCCUUGGAUGGUGCUGACCAAGAAAUACAUAUGUUCAUCUCUAGUUUUGAGCUGGGGUGGUGGAGCUGGCGCAUUCCUAGCAUCCUUUGCAGUUGCUGCCUUUGCAACCUCUCUAGCUAUAGCUGAGAUGGGAUGAGUGUCAUCCAUCACAACUAUAUUGUUCUCAUACUCUGGCUGAAGCGACAAAUGCGGACGAUCAAGCUGAUAUGCAUGCUUGCCAAUCCUGGCAUUGAUGAGCAUGUGAAUGUAUGGUGCAUAUCCACAUGAUCUCUUCUGGUCUGGAGAAGUUCUCCUGACAGUCUCAGUAAUCAAACCCAUGAUUUUCAACUCAGUGUGGGUGUCUAGAUGAUGCAUCAUAUUGAAGGAAUAGACUCUAAUCAUUUUGUCAUCACCUGAUUUGGGCAUCAUGGUAUGCCUCAAGAUAGUAUUGGUACUGCUUGCAAGAAAUAGACAGAGCCAAGCUUGUGAGACGGCAGAUAGUCAUUGGGCACUGGAUUGUACAUAUUGGCCAUGGAGUUGUGAUUCUUCUUAGGUUUUAAAUACGCAUCCAAGUCCUUGCCUCAUGACUUUGGAGCACCAAUUAUAGUACCCAUUCUUCAAUUGUGGCUUCAUUUCUAUGACCAUCAAUCAUCCAUACAUUUGUGCCAUCUGCAUAGAAAUGAACUGUUGAGUAGAAUUAAAUAAUCAUCUCAUCAUUCCAUGCAAUCAUUUCUCUCCCAACAAACUCUUCAAUGUCAGCAAGAUUGAAGUGUUUUUUCACAUGGGGAAAGAAAUCAUUAUUGUCUUUGAUGUAUUCCUAGUCGAUAUAUCUCAUGUAACUGACUACUCGACUCUUGUCAAACGGGACUGUCUCAUAGAAGUCUUUUUGUUCCCUUGUGUGAAACCAAGGAUCAACAACAGUUCUUCUCCUCACAGCAUAUGGAUCAAUAGUUCUCCACUUCCUCAACCCUGCAUCUCUUCUCUUCUUCAUGUCUUCAACAAUUGGGUGAGACUCAUUGUGAAGUGGCAAACGAGGUCUUAGCUUCAUGAGAAUAGGUGCAUUCUCAUCUUUUUCCUCUACAACAAAGGCUCUAGAAGCAGUGCCUUUCUCUUUAGCAGCUCCAGGUAUGUCAUUUGUACUCCUCUUGGGAGCUACAGUCUUCUUAGGAGCUGAAGGCUUUGGAGCUGAAGGCUUCAUAGCAUCUGCCAUAAGCUUCUUCUUCUUUGCAGGAGGGGCCUUAGCUGGUAUUUCUUCUUCCUCUUCCUCAGCAGCCGCAACAAUUUCUGUUGGAUCUUCAUAUAUGGAGGUUUGUCUACCAAUGACAUGAAUAGUUCUCUUCCUGGCUCUCUUCACACCCGGCUUCUUGGAAGAGGUAUCCUCAAGGGUGAUUUUCAUCCCUUUCUAAGCAGCCACAAGAGCUCUCAAAUCAGCAGGUCUGGCAUACUCCUUCCUCAUAGUCUCCUUGACUGUAGCCUUCUCUUUCUGCUUCCGGGGAACAGGAACUUCGGGAACAAAAUCAGAAUCUUCUUCAUCAAAAUUCAACUUCUUCCUGGACCUGGUAGCUGCCUUGGACAAGCCAUGGGAGCUGGGGGUACCUGGAUCAUAAGGGUUCCUCUUAGGACUAGUGCCUGAAUCUGACUCAGCAUGGGGCUCACGGAAGUUGUUCUCACUGUCCUCAUAACCUGACAUCUUGCAAUCCAAGCUGACAAACUAACACACAGACUGGUUGACCGUGUGAAAGGAUAUGGAGGAGCUUGAAAAUAUAAGCAUCAUACAAUUACAGAAGUUUUUCUUUAUUUUGAACAAAGAAAUCCUUAGUUUUAUCUUUCUGCAAAAUAAAUUUGGGUAGCACCGGGUCUGAACUUUGGUUUCUGUGAGAGAAAUGAUCUUCUUCACAAAAACCUAGAAAUCACUUCGGUGAAACCGAAAGUGACCAAUCUGUCUCACCGAGACCAUUCUCAGGAAACCUAGAAACAAGAUUGGUGGAACUUAUUUUUGCAACUCGGUGGCAUCGAGAUGCAUUCUACGGAUGGCUCACCCUAAGUAUUUUUCGUUCGCUGGUCUACUGGAACUUCUGGUGGAGUAAGAGGUUUGCACACGGAGGCUUAUAGACAAAAAUUUCUAAUGUGUAAGAAUUAGAUAAGAAAGCGCAAAAGAAGAUCGGAACCUUACCCUAACUUGGUGGCGGUCCGACUACGACGACGACGGCGGUGACGAUUUCCGUACAAUAAGGAUCCCAGUGGCGAAGAUGCAUGGGGAAGCAAGGCGAUUACCAAGGGGUCCAGGUGCGGCAGUUUGGGGUUGGGGAGCAUGGCGUUUGAAGAUUGGAUUUCAAAACGUUAGGUCCAUGGUGUAAGUACCCCUCACUAUCAGUGUUAUGGAUACUAAAAUUUCGGUGCUACCGAGUUCCAAUGUGGUCUGUUGACAGACAAACUCGGUGAAGCCGAGAUCAUGGUAUCGGUGGUACCGAGAUUAAGACCUAGAUCAACUUUGAGAAUCGGUGGAACCGAGAAUUUGGGAUUGGUUACACCGAGAUUCACAACGAGGUUUUGGAAAGCAGCCCUUGUCGACAUAGAACUCUGAGUGCUCCUCACACAGAGGGAUCAAGAAAUGCUUGUCAAGUUUUGUGAUGUAGCAUGAAUAGAACUUGAGACGAGAAAUCAUAGUCAACUAGAGAAGGGUCAUAUGCAUUCUUUUCCAUCCAAUUGGCAAAAUAUAAAUCAAAAGGCGAAUAGCAACAAUUGGAUGUCCUCGAAUGGAAAAGAUAUGCACACCAACAUGCUCACACAAUAAUAUGUCAAAUGAAAUCUUGGUGAACAUGCACAAACAUCCAAGCAUCUAUGAAGGACUUUGGAGAUGACGAAGUCAUCUAUAUAUGAGUAUAUUGACUUAGGAUUCAAGUAAGAAUACUUGAUCAUAGGUCAUACUCAUCGAUUAAGAACAAUCGGGUUACCACUUUUACAUAAUGCAUUGAUGUGUUCACAUCAUUUAGGAGACGCUUUUACUCAAGUCUUAGAGUAAAGCUCCCCCUAUAUGCGACAUCCCCCCUAAGAGGGAUCAACUAACCUUGGGUUUUGUCGUAGAAGACUUCAAGUAGGUGAAGUGGUGAUGGAUGCUUAUGGUUGAUGAAGUUCAUCUUGAGUUGGGAGCAAUCCUUGUUGUUUCUUACUCUUCUCACCUACAUGGGUUAGUCCCAAAGCAAAAGGAACAAAUGCAAGGAUAUAUAUGGACAUAGAGUGAAAUACAUGGGAGGUAAUGUCCAAAGAUGCAUUAAUUAACUUGUCCCUUUCUCACCUUUGAGGGAAUGUAUGACUCUUUGAACUAAUGCAUAUGGUUGAGGUUGAUUGCAUAUAGUUAUUUCCAAAAAUGAAUAAGAGUGAAUUUCAUGGUGGAGUCACCCCUCAAGAACAUUCUAGUUCUUCCUCUUGGGGAGCCACAUCAACUUGAUGGGAAUCCUUGGAUUUUUGGUAGCACUAGAUGAGGCAGUACUAGAAGUGUCCUUGGGAACCCACUUAACCUUGGCUUGGGGUUCUUCUUGAAACGAGUCAAUGUCCUCUUGAAGCUUUCCCUUACCAUUGUGGUCUUGUGGUAGAAGGCCAACUUGUGAGCUUGUUCCCUUGGGAGGAGUAGGAUCAUACUUCUCUUCUUAAGUAAGAAACUUGGGAAUGGCAUAUGGACCUUCUUCCAAAACAUCUCCAUUGACAUUGAAGUAUCCAACACCUUGCUUCUUCUGAUGUCCUCCUUGCUUGCGCAUAAUUUCCUCAAAUUGCUUACUUCCGGCAAGACUCUUGAAGACUCCUCUAUCUAUAAUCACUUUCAAUAAAUUGUUUUCUUGCUCAAGUGUAACUUGGCUAAGAGAAUCAUUAGUGGAAUCAAGAGAGCUACUAGCAACAACAUCAUUUGAUUUAGCUUUAGCAUUGUUGUUACUAGAUGAAGAAACUUUCUUGCCUUUGUUACUAGUGUUCUUAGGUUUAACUUGUGGAACAAAAGUAGAUAAGAGUAAUCGUUUGGCUAGAUAAGAGGAACCCUUCUUUCUAAGAUCAUCAUUGAUUGCUUUUACGAACUCAUGCUCUUGCUCUAAAUUUAGCUCCUCGAAGCAUAGCUUCUCAUGAGUUCUUGCAAGCUCUCUUUGAUCUUCUAGAGUAGUUUCAUGAGCUAACUUAAGAGAGUUAAAUUCUUUAGUUAGUCGUUCAAUUUCUUUCUUAUAACCAGCAUUCAAUUUAUCUUGACUAGCAUUAUAAUUAGCAAGUUCAUUUUCAAUGUUGUCGCUAGUAUUAUCAAAGAGCAAGUCAUCUUCCCCUAACAAGUGUAAUGCCGACAACACCUUCAUAUUGAUUGUAGUCAGAGUUGGAGUGAUAACUUCUCUCGGAGUGGUUGUCGGACUCAAAGCCAGGAACCCAUUCACCAACAUGAGAUUGAUGUCUUUUUCUUGAACUGCUCUUGGUGUACUUGUCCUUCUUAUCCGAUUCUCUACCACUCCGGGAGUGUCUUCGUUCAUAAUGAUCUUGUCUACUCCUUCUCUAUUUGCAAGGAGACUCAUCUCUUGAGCUUUGUCUUCUAGCUGACUCUUCUCUUCAUUUGUGGGGAUCCGAGUGCUAACGGCAGUCCCCGACAACGACACUAGAAGAAUGUUGUUGACGAGUCCCUGGCUUGAUGCCUUCGCGACAACAGAGCCAGAACUGCUCCCAGUUGCUCAACAAUUAGCAAUUGUCUUGCAAUGGCCUACCAGUGCGUGGGUUCGCGGCAGUUUUCGAGGGUAGAGUAUUUGACCCAAAUUUGUUGAUUCGCCAGGCAGGAGGUGAGAGGAUACUCUCGAGUAUUAGCAGCUGAAUGUAUCAAAUUCAACCACACCUGAAAGAUUAGUAUCUGCAAGCGAAGUAUCAGGAACAAAGUAGUAUGAUAACAACGGUGUCAGAAACGAUCUGUUGACGGCAGACUAUUCCUAACUGUUGUAUCAAUGGCACCAGAAGUUGCCCGUUGACGGGAAAUAUUCUUCCCCGUCAACGCCGUGCGAACAAAAAUUGUAGCAGGUAGCAGCAGUGUAACGAGUAACAGCAGUAGCAAGGAACAGCACAACAAAACAAGUAACACCAUUAACAACCGUAGUGGGACAAACUCGUAGGCAAUGGGUCGGUGGUUCGUUUGGAUGAUAUUCAUCAUGCAACAGUGAUAACACAGAGAGAUAUGUGGCUAGCUCCCGUUCGUCAAUGUGAUGUAGGCAUGCAUUGCUUGUGUAGUCAUACGUUCUUAGGGAAAAGAACUUGCAUGACAUCUAUUGUCCAUCCUUCCCGUGGCAGCAGGGUCUAAAAGGAUACUACAGGAUAUUAAGGUUCUCCUUUUAAUAAAGAACCGGAACAACGCAUUAGCACUUGGUGAACAGAUGAACUCCUCAAACUAUGGUCAUCACUAGGAGUGGUUUCGGUUAUUAUCACUCCGGGGUUGCCGGGUCAUAACACAUAGUAGGUAACUACAACUUGCAAGAUCGGAUCUAAAACACACAUAUAUUGGUGACAGCAUAAUAAUUUCAGAUCUGAAAUCAUGGCACUCGAGCCCUAGUGACAAUCAUUAAGCAUGGAAAAGUAGUUGCAACAUCAAUCUCAGAAUAUAGUGGAUACUAGGGACCAAUCCCCGUCAAAACUAACUCAAUUACAUGAUAGAUCUCAUCCUACUCAUCACCGCCUAGCGAGCCUACGAAUAGAUUACUCACGAACGAUGAAGCGCUUCAUGGAAUUGGAGAGGGAAGAAGGUUGAUGAUGACGAUGGCGACGAUUUCCCCUCUCCGUAGCCCAAAACGGACUCCAGAUAUGUCCUCCAGAUGAAGACCAGGAUGUGGCGGCGCCUCCGUAUCGCAAACGUGACAAAAUCUUCUCUUCUGAUUUUUUUCUGGGCGAAAGUGAAUUUAUAGAGCUGAGUUUGGGGGCGGCAGAGCCACGUGGGCCCCACAAGCUUGGUUGCCGCGGCCAUGGGGUGGCCGCGCAACGGGGCUUGUGGCCCACUCGCCCAGCCCCUCCGGUGGAUCUUUGCACAGGUAUUUUUCAUAUUUUCUUGAAAAAUUCUUCGUAAAUUUUCAGGACGUUUCGAGAACUUUCAUUUGUGCACAAAAACAACACCAUGGCAAUUCUGCUGAAAACAGCGUCAGUCCGGGUUAGUUCCAAUCAAAUCAUGCAAAUUAGAGUCCAAAACAAGGGCAAAAGAGUUUGGAAAAGUAGAUACGAUGGAGACAUAUCAACUCCCUCAAGCUUAAAACCUUGCUUGUCCUCAAGCAACUCAGUUGAAAAACUGAAAGAGAAAGAAAAACUUUGACAAACUCUGUUUGAUCUUGUUGUUGCAACUAUGUCUAACUCGUAACCAGAAUUUCAGCAAGAUCACAAGUUAACCACAUAAGCAAGUGACACAAAGGUCUCAAGGUAAACUAAUAUCAAUGGCAUAAUCAGCUAGCGAGCAAAUAAUAAUGAGUUUCAGAUACCAACAACUCAAUAAAAACAAGCAUGAAGCAAUGUGAAUAGUUGGUAUCUCGCUAGCUCUUUCUGAGACCGCAAAACAUAAAUGCAGAGCACUUUCAAAGAUCAAGGGCUGACUAAACAUUGUAAUUCAUAGCAACGAAGAUCCAGUCAUAGUCAUACUCAAUAUCAAUCAAAAGCAAAGCAUAAAAAUGACAGAGGUGCUCUCUAAUUGGUGCUUAUAUAAGAAGAGGAUGACUCAACAGGAAAAUAAAUAGACAUGCCCUUCGCAGAGGGAAGCAUUGAUUUGCAGAGGUGCCAGAGCUCAAGCUUUGAAAACAGAGAUAAUAAUUUUGGGUGGCAUGCUUUCAUUUUCAACGCAAGGACCAAGAUUUCUCAAUAUCUUCCACUCUACUCAUGCUAUAGGCGGUUCCCAAAGAGAAAAGUAAAGUUUUAACUCCCCCCCACCAAUCAAUCACACUCCACGGCUAACCGAAUCCUCGGGUACCGUCCAUACUAACAUCAAUCCGGGGGGAGUCUUGUUUUACAGUUAUGUUUUCGAUUUAAGCAUGGAACUGGGCAUUCCAAUUACCGGCCCCUUUCUCGUGAAUGACAAUGAAUAAACACAUGUCGAGGAUAACACACCUAACAUGGAAGAUACAAAUAGCCCCCUGUCACCACAUGAGCAGUUCGGGCAUGCAAAACAGAUUAUUUCUUGAAGGUUUAGAGAAUGGCACAUGCAAAUUUACUUGGAACGGCAGGUAAAUACCACAAAUAGGUAGGUAUGGUGGACUCCCAUGGAAAAACUUUUGGGUUUAUGGAAGUGGAUGCAUAAGCAGUAUUCCGCUUAGUACAAGUGAAGGCUAGCAAAAGACUGGGAAGCGACCAACUAGAGAGCGACAACAGUAAUCAACAUGCAAUGAGUUUGACUAUCAUGGAGUGCAAGCAUGAACAGGAUAUAAAUCACCAUGAACAUGAACAUCAUAGAGGCUAUGUUGAUUUUGUUUCAACUACAUGCAUGAACAUGCGCCAAGUCAAGCCACUUGAAUCAUUCAAAGGAGAAUACCAUCCUAUCAUACUACAUCAUAAUCAUCUCAAAAUCUAUGUUGGCAUUCAAGACAAACCAUUAUAAGCUCCUAGCUAAAUAAGCAUGGCAUCAGAAACUAUGAUCUCUAAGUUGUCAUUGCAAACACGGUUCUCUCACAACAAAGCUGAAUCUGGGACAACAAGCUAGUCAUAUUUACAAAAACAAAAUAGAUAGAGUUCAUACCAGCUUUUCCAGUCUCAGUCACUUCAUCAUAUAUCAUCAUUAUUGCCUUUCACUUGCACGAUCGAACGAUGUGAACAAUAAUAAGAGUGCUCGUGCAUUGGACUAAGCUGAAUCUGCAGGCAAACACAAAGGAGAAAGCAAAGUAAUAUGGAUCUUUGAAAGCUAAACAUGUAUGCAUGCAAGAGCCACUAAACAUUGUAACCAAUUUCUUAUACCUUGACCCAAAGAAAAAUAAAACUAUUUACACGGGAAAGCUCCCAACAAGGAAAAAGAAGAAAUGAAAAUCUUUUUCGGUUUUCUCAAAAGGACAAAAAACAGGAAAACAAGAAAACGAAAAUAAACUAGCAUGGAUAAUACAGUGGCAAAGUGUAAACACCGACGAACAAAGUGAAAGCGUAAGCAUGAAUGUAAAGUUGGUGCAAACACAUACUCCCCCAAGCUUAAGCUUUUGGCCUAGCCUGAUCUACUCCCAAGGACGGUCCUGGCGAAACCCAAAAUCAUAAUCGGGGUUAUAUGAGAGUGCUGCAGCCACAGCCUGAAUAGCUGCCUCACAAAGACGAGCAGUCGUCGCCUCCCUCUCGUACUCCUCUACCUCUCCUAUGGUUAUGUAGUAUCUCCGUUUAACCUGAAAGUCAAAGAAAGCAGGAGCAGGAAGGGUAAUAUGGAAAACACGCUGCCGGUUAAAUAUCAAUCGGUAUAGGAGGGAUUCAUCAUCCCUCUCAAGAAACUAGUAGCGUGUCAAAACGACGCAGUCAAGGAAAGAUGUAUCGAGCAGGGGAUCUCCUGCGAGGAUGGGUACUCCAAGAAAAUUUGCUAUGCGAGUGGCAUAGAUGCCGCCAAAGAAAUCUCCCUCAAUAGCGUUCUUAUUUAGCCUCCUUGCUAUAAUAGCUCCCAUGUUGAAGCUUUUCUCACCCGUAACUGUGCUCUUAAGGAUACUAAGGUCGGAUGCGCAUAGGUGACAAUGUUCAACCUUACCGUUAAUGCAUCUACCUAUGAAGAGGGCGAAGUAGUGCAAGGCAGGGAAAUGAAUGCUUCCUAUGGUAGCUUGCGUGAUGUCUCUAGUUUCUCCAAUAGAUAUACUAGAGAAAAAUCUCUAACCGGAGAUUUAGCACGAUCUUUAAGAUGACCCCCAUCGGGUAUUUUGCAAAUCCUAUUGAAAUCCUUAUAAAUCCAUGGCAUAGGAUUUAUCAUACAAAUCAAACAGCAUGGAUGAGUCACGGCCAACUGAAAAUUUAAAUCUACGCACGAAAGAGGCAGUGAGCAUAGCAUACUGUCCACAUUUAUCUGAGAGGAAUUCUUCUAACCCGGCAUUGCGGACAAGCGUAUCAAAAUCAUCCUUGAAGUCUCUUUCGAUCAUGAACUCAUCGGAAGGCCAUUCACAUGGUUGUACCGGUGCGUCCCUUAGUUGAUAAGGAUCGGGCUCCUGAAUAGAAAGACGGGACCCUUCUUACUUGAGGAACCACCAUGAAACUUCCUCCUGAACAUAAUUCCUUUUGCUGAAAUUUUUGAAGUUCAAGAGAAAAGUGAAUAAAGACCAACCACACCUUGUAGCAACUACUCAUACUAGUGCCUAGAGACCGUAUCACGCGCUAAAACUACUUGGGACCAGCUAAAAUCAACAUUUCAAGCUCAAGAACAGGGUCACCAAGGUAGCAAGAAUACGCGAAGGACAAAGCACUAGAGCAAAAACGAAUUGGACCAAUGGAGGAGUCACUUACCAAGGAGCAAUUUCCCCAAAACGGUUCGGAGAAUGAUGCUUCGAGCAAGGAGAUCGAAAAUCACAGCCAAAUGAGCAAGAACACGGUUUUGAGCUGUGAAACAUUUUUUUCUAGAGGAAGAAGAAGAGGAUGGGAGUUGGAAUGAGUGGAGGGGGCCCCUGUGGGCCCCACAAGCUUGCUUGCCGCGGCCAGGGGGUGGCCGCGGUGACAGGGCUUGUGGCCCACUGGGGUGGCCCCCAAGCCAGCUCUCUGUCCUAGUAUUUUUCAAAUAUUCCAGAAAAAAUCAUACUAGAUUUUCAGGACCAUCGGAGAACUUUUAUUUUCGGGGUAUGUUUCUCCGGGACUCUAAAACAGAAGACAUGAAAAACUAAACUAAACCUAUCAUUUUUCUUCUAAGCAAAAGAAAGUGAAAGCUUAAAACAGAGGUAUGUGACUCUCUGAUUCAUCCAUUUCAUGGUCACCGAAAGAAAUCCGUCAAUGGGGUUGAUCAAAUCCUUAUGACAAAACUUUCUCAAAUUGCAAAAGAGAAUGGAGAAUUUUCGAAUAGCCACUAAGUUACCUCAAUGGGGAUAUGUAUCUCCCCAACAAGCAAAUCAUACUUCAUCUUGACACGAGGAAUAGGGCAUUCAAAGCUCCCAAUGAGAAUCGAUGAAGUUUUUUCGAUAGCAUUGAUGCAAUGUACUUGAUAUUGUUUCUUCGGAAAGUGGACGGUAUGCUCAUUAACGUGAACAUGGAAAGUGACAUUGCCUUUGUUGCAAUCUAUAACAGCCCCUGCAGUGUUUAAAAAGGGUCUUCCGAGGAUGACAGCCAUGACAUCAUCCUCGGGAAUAUCCAAGAUAACAAAGUCUGUUAAGAUAGUGGUGUUAGCAACCACAAGAGGGACAUCCUCGCAAAUGCCAACAGGGAAAGCAGUUGAUUUGUCGGUCAUUUGUAGAGAGAUUUCAGUAGGUGUCAACUUAUCCAGUUCAAGUCUACGAUAAAGAGAGAGAGGCAUAACACUAACUCCGGCUCCGAGGUCAAAAUAAGGCAGUUCUUACGUAAUUUCCUUUAAUGGAGCAAGGUAUAGUGGGCACUCCAGGAUCACCAAGUUUCUUAGGAGUUCCACCUUUGAAAGUGUAAUUGGCAAGCAUGGUGGAGAUCUCAAGAUCUGGGAUCUUCCGUUUAUUGGUCACGAUAUCUUUCAUAUACUUGGCAUACGGAGACAUUUUGAGCAUAUCAACUAACCCCAUCUGUAGAAAGACGGGUCUUAUCAUUUCAAUAAAGCGCUCAAAAUCCUCAUCAUCCUUUUUCUUGGAUGGCUUAGGAGGAAAGGGCAUAGGUCUCUGAACCCAUGGCUUCCUUUCUUUACCGUGCUUCCUAGCAGUGAAGUCAUUCUUAUCGUAUCUCUUAGGUAGUGGGUUAUCAGGAUUAACCGUAGGUUCAAUCUCCACAUCCUCAUCAUUGUUAGGUUGAGCAUCAUUAUGAACAUCGCUGUCCAUAUUGUCACCAGGUUCAUGUUCAUCACCAGAUUGUGUUUCUGCAUCAGACGCAGAAAUAUCAUUUGGUUCUUCAGGUGUGACAGUACUUGGUGAACUAACAUGCAGGUUUCUAUCAUCCUUCUUCUUCUCCUUAGGAUGACUGGGUGCAUCUGCAUUAAUUCCUUGAGAAUCUUGAUCAAUUCUCUUAGGAUGACCUUCAGGAUACAAAGGUUCCUGAGUCAUUUUGCCUCCUCUAGUAAUGACUCUGACAGAGUUGUCAUUUAAUUCAUUGAGCAGGUCAUUCUGAGCUUUAAGUACUUGUUCUACCUGAGUAGUAAUCAUAGAGGCAUGUUUACUCAGAAGCUUCAGAUCAUUGACAUUUAUAUCUACACAAGCACUUAAAUGACUAAGCAUACAAGUACUUUGUUCCAAAUGUCUGCUAACAUAAUCAUUGAAACUCUGUUGUUUGGCAACAAAGUUAUCAAAUUCAUCAAAGCAUAGGCUAGCAGGUUUAGCAAAAGGAAUAUCACUCUCAUCAAACCUACGCAGAGAAUUUACUUCCACUACCUGUAUCGGGUUAUCGAGACCAUGGAUCUCUUCGAUAGGUGGUAGAUUUUUGACAUCUUCAGAUCUAAUGCCUUUCUCUUGCAUGGAUUUCUUGGCUUCUUGCAUAUCUUCGGGACUGAGGAAUAGGAUACCUCUUUUCUUCGGGGUUGGCUUAGGAGGUGGUUCUGGAAUAGUCCAAGCAUUAUUGUUGAUCAAGAUGUUAUUCAGUAGAGUCUCAGCUUGUUCUAUAGUUCGUUCCCUAAAAACACAAUGGGCACAACUAUCUAGGUGGUCCUUAGAGGCAUCGGUAAGUCCGUUAUAGAAGAUAUCAAGUAUCUCGUUCUUCUUAAGAGGGUGAUCAGGCAAAGCAUUUGGUAGCUGGACGAGCCUCCCACAAGCUUGUGGGAGACUCUCUUCUUUAGUUGAGCAAAGUUGUAUAUUUCCUGCAAGGCAGCUUGCUUCUUAUGGGCAGGGAAAUAUUUCUCACAUAAGUAAUAGACCAUGUCCUGGGGACUACUCACACAUCCAGGAGCAAGAGAAGCGAACCAGGCUUUAGCAUCAUCCUUUAGAGAGAAAGGAAACAACUUAAGGAUAUAGUAGUGACGGAUCUUUCCUCACUAGUGAAAAGGGUGGCUAUAUCGUAUAGUUCGUCUCAGACUCAUAACCGUGGAAAGGAUCAGAUUCGACUAGAGAGAUUAUCUCAGAAUCGACAGAGAACUCAUAAUUCUUAUCGGUGAUAAAGAUAGGUGAAGUGGCAAACUUCGGGUCGUAUUUCAUCCUAGCUUUCACAGAUUUUUCCUUCCACUCGAGAAGUAAUUUCUCAACGUCAUAGGCAUCCUUACACGCAAGAAAAUCCUCAGCUAUCUCUCCCUCCAUAACGUAACCCUCGGGUAUAUCAGGCAAUUCAUAUCUAGGAGAGCUAGAUGUAGUAGGAGCAAAAGCAGGUUCUAUCUCAAUAGUAUCGGCAGUUUCAGAAGCAUCACGAGCAUUGGCAGUAACUCUAGCAAUAUGAGCAUCAAGGAAUACUCCUAGUGGCACAUCAGGCAAAGUAGUAUCUCCAGCAGUAUCGAGCAUAGCAUCAUCAGGCAAAAUAGCAUCUCUAGCAUCAUCAGGCAUAGCAUCUCUAGCAGUAUCAGGCAUAGCAUCUCUAGCAGUAUCAGGCAUAGCAUCUCUAGCAGUAUCAGGCAUAGCAUGUGUAGCAAUAUGAAGCAUAGCAUCUCUAGCAGUAUCACGCAUAGUAUCAUCAAGCAUAGUGGCAUCAUAAGCAUCAUCAAGCACAGGCGACAUAUCAAGAUUUCUAGCAGGAGGUGAUGUCGCAAACUUACUCAUAACUGAAGGUGACUCAAUUGCAGAGCUAGAUGGCAGUUCCUUACCUCCCCUCGUAGUUGAGGGCAAGACUUUGGUUUUUGGAUCUUUCAGAUUCUUCAUAGUGAUCAGCAGAUAUAAAUCCCAAGUGACUCAGAGAAUAUAGCAAUACCUCCCCGGCAACGGCGCCAGAAAAAUGCUGCUAACGGCAGUCCCCGACAACGACACUAGAAGAAUGUUGUUGACGAGUCACUUGCUUGAUGUCUUCGCAACAACAGAGCCAGAACUGCUCCCAGUUUCUCAACAGUUAGCAAUUGUCUUGCAAUGGCCCACCAGCGCAUGGGUUCGCGGCAGUUUUCGAGGGUAGAGUAUUCGACCCAAAUUUGUUGAUUCGCCAGGCAGGAGGUGAGAGGAUACUCUCGAAUAUUAGCAGCUGAAUGUAUCAGAUUCAACCAAACCUGAAACAUUAGUAUCUGCAAGCAAAGUAUCAGCAGCAAAGUAGUAUGAUAACAAUGGUGUCAGAAACGAUCUGUUGACGGCAGACUAUUCCUAACUGUUGCAUCAAUGGCGCCAGAAGUUGCCAGUUGAGGGAAAUAUUCUUCCCUGUCAACGCCGUGCGAACAAGAAUUGUAGCAGGUAGCAGCAGUGUAACGAGUAUCAGCAGUAGCAAGGAACAACACAGCAAAACAAGUAAUAGCAGUAACGGCAGUAGUGGGACAAACUCAUAGGCAAUGGGUCGGUGGUUCAUUUGGAUGAUAUUCAUCAUGCAACAGUUAUAACACGGAGAUAUAUGUGGCUAGCUCCCGUUCGUCAAUGUGAUGUAGGCAUGCAUUCCGUGUGUAGUCAUACGAGCUUAGGGAAAAGAACUUACAUGACAUCUAUUGUCCAUCCCUCCCGUGGCAGCGGGGUCCAAAAGGAUACUACAGGAUAUUAAGGUUCUCCUUUUAAUAAAGAACCGGAUCAACGCAUUAGCACUUGGUGAACACAUGAACUCCUCAAACUAUGGUCAUCACCGGGACUGGUUCCGGUUAUUUUCACUCCGGGGUUGCCGGGUCGUAACACGUAGUAGGUAACUACAACUUGCAAGAUCGGAUCUAAAAUACACAUAUAUUGGUGACUAAAUAAUAAUUUCAUAUCUGAAAUCAUGGCACUCGGGCCCCAGUAACAAGCAUUAAGCAUGUCAAAGUAGUAGCAACAUCAAUCUCAGAACAUAGUGGAUACUACGGAUCAAUCCCCGUCAAAACUAACUCGAUUACAUGAUAGAUCUCAUCCUACUCAUCACCGCCCAGCGAGCCUACGAAUAGAUUNNNNNNNNNNNNNNNNNNNNNNNNNNNNNNNNNNNNNNNNNNNNNNNNNNNNNNNNNNNNNNNNNNNNNNNNNNNNNNNNNNNNNNNNNNNNNNNNNNNNNNNNNNNNNNNNNNNNNNNNNNNNNNNNNNNNNNNNNNNNNNNNNNNNNNNNNNNNNNNNNNNNNNNNUACUCACGAACGAUGAAUAGCUUCAUGGAAUUGGAGAGGGAAUAAGGUUAAUGAUGACGAUGGCGGCGAUUUCCCCUCUCCGGAGCCCAAAACGGACUCCAGAUCUGUCCUCCAGAUGAAGAACAGGAUGUGGUGGCGCCUCCGUAUCGCAAACGUGACGAAAUCUUCUCUUCUGAUUUUUUUUUCUGGGCGAAAGUGAAUUUAUAGAGCUGAGUUUGGGGGCGGUAGAGCCACGUGGGCCCCACAAACUUGGUUGUCGCGGCCAGGGGGUGGCCGUGGCAACAGGGCUUGUGGCCCACUGGCCCAGCCCCUCCGGUGGAUCUUUGCGCAGGUAUUUUUCAUAUUUUCCAGAAAAAUUCUCCGUAAAUUUUCAGAACGUUCCGAGAACUUUCAUUUCUGCACAAAAACAACACCAUGGCAAUUCUGCUGAAAACAGCGUCACUCCGGAUUAGUUCCAUUCAAAUCAUGCAAAUUAGAGUCCAAAACAAGGGCAAAAGAGUUUGGAAAAGUAGAUACGAUGGAGAUGUAUCACCGAGCACUCAUUGGAAAAGUGUCCGGGCUUUCCACAUUUGUAGCAAUUUUGGUCACGACUACAUGAAUGCUUCUCAUCAUAUCUUGAGCUUGAGCUUCUCUCUUUGCCUCUACUCUUGUAGAACUUGUUGAACUUUCUGACCAUGGGGCUGAUCUCUUCAUUGGUAACAAGGUUGUCACUUGAAGUAGCGGGAGCAUAGACUGAAGCUUCGUAAGCACUGAUUGACUUGUUGUGCAACUCAUCUUUAUCUUUGAGAGAGAUUUCAUGACAAACAAUCCUUCUAAUGACUUCAGUAGGUUUGAGAUUUUUGUAGUUGGGCAUCAUUUGAAUUAAUGUGCACACGGUGUCGUAUCUUCCAUCCAAAGCUCUAAGUAUCUUCUUGAUGAUGAAUUCGUCGAUCAUCUCUUCACUUCCUAAGCUGACAAUCUCAUCUGUGAUGAGAGCUGGCCUAGAGUACAUCUCCGCAAUUCCUUCACAAUCCUUCAUCUUGAAUUUGUCAAGCUGACUUUGAAGCACAUCCAACUUAGAUUACCCGAUAGAAUCGUUACCUUUGUGCAUAUCAAUCAAAGCAUCCCAAAUUUCCUUUGCAUUCUCAAGGCAACUGAUUUUGUUAAAUUCUUCGGGACACAAGUGGUUGAACAGGAUGUCACAUGCUUGAGCAUUGAAUUACAACAUAUUCAAUUCUUCUGUUGUGGCAUCACGAUCCGGUUCUCUUCCUUAUCCAAAUAAAUCACUUUGCACACCAACACGAACAACAGCCCAAACGGAAGGAUUAUGACCAAGAAUAUGCAUUUUCAUCUUAUGGUUCCAACUAGCAAAAUUAGUGCCAUCGAAUUAUGGACCUCUACGGUCAUAAUUUCCCUCACUAGACGCCAUACUCUCCUAGGUUGUGAAACCAAUGCAAUAGAGACAAAAUCUUCGAUACCACUAGUAGGAUCGAAAGUAUGUCUAGAAGGGGGUGAUUAGACUACUUGACAUGAUAAAAACUUAGCCUUUUCCCAAUUUUUAGUGUGGGCCAAUUCUAGCAUCUAUGACUAGUCAAGUAUACCCUACACAUGCAUAUAUAAGAGUAUAGAACCAGAAAGUAAAACAUGCAAGUGUAAAGUAGAGGGUAAGAUAGGGAGAUCAAACACAAAGGUUGAAACGGCGAUUUUUGGCAUGGUUCCGAUAGGUAUCGUACCUCCAGGUUAAUGGAGACUUCAACCCACAAAAGGUAACAACUGCGAGAGUCCACGAAGGGUCCACCCACAAGGGGUCCAUGAAUAAGAGACAUUGUCUAUUCCACAACGGCUUCCAUCCACAAAGGACUAGCCUCACUCACGGUAGAUCUGUUGGGGAACGUUGCAUGGGAAACAAAAUAUUUCCUACGCACACAAAGACCUAUCAUGGUGAUGUUCAUCUACGAGAGGGAGAUCAGAUCCACAUACCCUUGUAGAUCAGUAAGUGGGAAGCGUUAAGAAACACGGUUGAUGUAGUGGAACAGCUUCGUGAUUCAAAUCACCGUCGUCCCAAGAUCCAUUCUGAUCUAGCGCCAAACGGACGACACCUCCGCGUUCAGCACACGUACAGCUCGAUGACGAUCUCUACCUUCUUGAUCCAGCAAGAGAGACGGGGAAGUAGACGAGUUCUCCGGCAGCGUGACGGCGCGCCGGUGAUGGUGAUGAUAUAUUCCUGGAGGUCUCCGCCCGAGCUCCGCAGAAAACCGAUCUAGAGGAAGAACUACGAAGUAGAAGUUUAGGGUUGCACGUGGAAAAGUUGUGUCUCAAAAACCCUAAAACCUCUAGUAUAUCCAGGAGGAGGGGGGGCUAGCCUUGAGGCUCAAGAGAGACUCAAGGGCACCGGCCAAGAGAGGAGGAGGAGGACUCCAACUCCAAUUCGGUUUGGGAAGGAGGAGUCCCCUCCUUCCUUCCCACCCCCUCUUUUUUUCCUUUGGUUUUUGCCUUCUAGCCGACAUAGCCCACUUGGGCUGGCCUCGCCAGCCCACUAAGGGCUGGUGCGCCACCCUUGGGCUAUUGGGUUCUCUCCCGGGUGGGUGGGCCCCUCGCAGUAAAGAACCAGAACCCAUUCGUCACUCCCGGUACACUGUCGGUAAUGCCUGAAAUCUAUCCGGAGGCCAACUGAAACAAUCCUAUAUAUCCAUCUUCGUUUCUGGACCAUUCUGGAAACCCUCGUGACGUCCGUGAUCUCAUCCGAGACUCCGUACAACCUUUGGUCACCAACACCUAUAACUCAACUUUACCGAAACGUCACCGAACCUUAAGUGUGCACACCCUGCGGGUUCGAGAACUAUGCAGACAUGAGCUGAGACACUCCCCGGUCAAUAUCCAACAGCGGUACGUGGAUGUCUAUAUUGGAUCCUACAUAUUCUACAAAGAUCUUAUCGGUUGAACCUCUGUGCCAAGGAUUCAUAUAAUCCCGUAUACCAUUCCCUUUGUUCUUCGGUAUGUUACUUGCCCGAGAUUUGAUCGUCGGUAUCCCUAUACCUAUUUCAAUCUCGUUACCGGCAAGUCUCUUUAGUUGUUCCAUAAUACAAGAUCCCGUGACUAACACAUUGGCCACAUUGCUUGCAAGGCUUAUAUGUGAUGUUGUAUUACUGAAUGGGCCCUGAGAUACCUCUCCGUCACACGGAGUGACAAAUCCUAGUCUUAAUCAAUGCUAACUCAACGGACACCUUCGGAGAUACUUGUAGAGCACCUUUAUAGUCACCCAGUAAUGUUGCGACAUUUGAUACACACAAGGCAUUCCUCCGGUGUCAGUGAGUUACAUGAUCUCAUGGUCAUAGGAAUGAAUACUUGACACGCAGAAAACAAUAGCAACAAAAUGACACGAUCACAUGCUAAGUUUAUAGUUUGGGUCUUGUCCAUCAUGUCAUUCUCCUAACGAUGUGAUCCAAUCAUCAAGUGACAACACUUGCAUAUGGUCAGAAAACCUUAACCAUCCUUGAUCAACUGGCUAGUCAACUAGAGGCUUACUAGGGACAUUGUUUUGUCUAUAUAUCGACACAUGCAUUUAUGUUUUCAUUCAAAAUAAUUAUAGCAUGGAUAAUAAACGAUUAUCUUGAAACAUGAAAUAUAAUAAUAACUAUUUUAUCAUUGCCUCUAGGACAUAUUUCCAAUAGUCUCCCACUUGCACUAGAGUCAAUAAUCUAGUCUCACAUUGCUAUGCGAUUUACAUUGGAAUGAAUCUAACACCUAUACAGUUCUGGUGUUGAUCAUGCUUCGCUCGUGGAAGAGGUUUAGUCAGCGGAUCUGCAACAUUCAGAUCCAUGUGCACUUUGCAAAUAUUUACGUCCUCUCCUUCGAAAUAGUCGCGGAUGAGGUUGAAGCGUCGUUUGAUGUGUCUGGUCUUCUUGUGAAACAUUGGUUCCUUUGCUAGAGCAAUGGCACCAGUGUUGUCACAUAACAGAGUUAUUGGAUUUAGUGUGCUCGGCACAACUCCAAGAUCCCUCAUGAACUCCUUCAUCCAGACACCCUCCUUAGCUGCCUCCGAGGCAGCCAUGUAAUCCGCUUCACAUGUAGAAUCUGCAACGACGCUUUGCUUGGAACUGCACCAGGUUACCGCACCCCCAUUAAGAAUAAAUACAUAUCCGCUUUGAGACUUAGAGUCAUCCGGAUCAGUGUCAAAGCUUGCAUUGACGUAACCCUUUACGACGAGCUCUUCGUCACCUCCAUAAACGAGAAACAUUUCCUUAGUCCUUUUCUGGUACUUCAGAAUAUUUUUGACAGCCGUCAAGUGAUCCACUCCUGGAUUACUUUGAAACCUGCCUGCCAUACUUAUGGCCAGGCUGACGUCCGGUCUUGUGCACAACAUUUCAUACAUGAUAGACCCUAUGGCUGAAGCAUAGGGGACGGUACUCAUCUUUUCUCUAUCUUCCGCAAUUACUGGACACUGAGUCUUACUCAACUUUAUACCUUGUAACAAUGGCAAGAACCCCUUUUUGGACUGCUCCAUUUUGAAGUUCUUCAAAACUUUAUCAAGGUAUGUGCUUUGUGAAAGUCCUAUUAGGCGCCUCGAUCUAUCCCUAUAGAUCUUAAGGCCUAAUAUGUAAGCAGCUUCUCCUAGGUCUUUCAUUGAAAAACAUUUGUUCAAGUAAUCCUUUACGCUCUCCAAAAACUCCACAUUGUUUCCAAUCAGCAAUAUGUCAUCCACAUAUAAUAUUAGAAACGCUACACAGCUCCCACUCACUUUCUUGUAAAUACAAGAUUCUCCAACAACUUGUAUAAACCCAAAUGCCUUGAUCACCUCAUCAAAGCACUCAUUCCAACUCCGAGAUGCUUGCACCAGUCCAUAAAUGGAUCACUGGAGCUUGCAUACUUUGUUAGCAUUCUUUGGAUCGACAAAACCUUCAGGUUGCAUCAUAUACAACUCUUCCAUAAGAAAACCAUUAAGGAACACCGUUUUGACAUCCAUCUGCCAGAUUUCAUAAUCGAAAAAUGCAGCUAUUGCUAACAUGAUUCGGACGGACCUAAGCAUCGCUACCGGUGAGAAUGUCUCAUCAUCGUCAACUCCUUGAACUUGUGAAAAACCCUUUGCCACAAGUCGAGCUUUAUAAACGGUCACAUUAUCGUCCAAGUCCGUCUUCUUCUUAAAGAUCCGUUUGUUCUGAAUAGCCUUGCGACCUCCAGGUAAUACUUCCAAAGUCCACACUUUGUUUCCAUACAUAGAUCCUAUCUCGGACUUCAUGGCCACUAAAAAUUUGCUGGAAUCUGGUCCCACCAUUGCUUCUUCAUAAUUCGCAGGCUCCUUGUUGUCUAACAACAUGAUAGACAAGACAGGAUUCCGUACCACUCAAGAGUAGUACGUGAUCUUGUCGACCUGCGAGGUCCGAUAGCAACUUGAUCUGAAGCCUCAUGAUCAUCAUAGUUAGCUUCCUCCUCAACUGGUGUUGCCUCGAUAGAGAUUUCUCUCUGCCCUGCGCCACCAUCCUGUUGGAGCAGAGGUUCCACAACCUCAUCAAGUUCUAUAUUCCUCCCACUCAAUUCUUUCGAGAGAAACUACUUCUCAAGAAAAGCUCCAUUUUUAGCAACAAACACUUUGCCCUCGGAUCUGAGAUAGAAGGUGUACCCAACUGUCUCCUUUGGGUAACCCACGAAGACACACUUUUCCGCUUUGGGUUCCAGCUUUUCAGGCUGAAGCUUUUGGACAUAAGCAUCACAUCCCCAAACUUUAAGAAACAACAACUUUGGCCUCUUGCCAUACCAUAGCUCAUAUGGUGUCGUCUCAACGGAUUUUGAUGGCGCCCUAUUUAAAGUGAAUGCAGUUGUCUCUAAUGCAUAACCCCACAACAAUAAUGGCAAAUCGGUAAGAGACAUCAUAGAUCGUACCAUAUCUAACAAAGUACGAUUACGACGUUUGGACACACCAUUGCGCCGUGGUGUUCCAGGCGGUGUCAACUGUGAAACGGUUCAACAUUGUCUUAAGUGAGAACCAAACACGAAACUCGGAUAUUCGCCCCCUCGAUCAGAUCGUAGGAACUUGAUCUUCUUGUUACGAUGAUUUUCAACUUCACUCUGAAAUUGCUUGAACUUUUCAAAUGUUUCAUACUUGUGCUUCAUCAAGUAGAUAUAUCCAUACCUACUCAAAUCAUUAGUGAAGGUGAGAAAAUAACGAUAUCCGUCGCGCGCCUCCACACUCAUUGGACCGCACACAUCAGUAUGUAUGAUCUCCAACAAGUCACUUGCACGCUCCAUUGUUCUGGAGAACAGAGUCUUAGUCAUCUUGCCCAUGAGUGAUGGUUCGCACGUGUCAAGUGAUUCGAAAUCAAGUGACUCCAAAAGCCCAUCAGCAUGGAGUUUCUUCAUGCGCUUUACACCAACAUGACCUAAGCGGCAGUGCCAAAAAAAGGUGGCACUAUCAUUGUUAACUCUACAUCUUUUGGUCUCAAUGUUAUGUAUAUGUGUGUCAUCACAAUCAAGAUUCAAUAUUAACAAACCCCUCACAUUGGGUGCAUGACCAUAAAAGAUAUUACUCAUAAAAAUAGAACAACCAUUAUUCUCUGACUUAAAUGAGUAACCGUCUCGCAAUAAACAAGAUCCAGAUAUGAUGUUCAUGCUUAACGCAUGCACUAAAUAACAAUUAUUUAAGGUCAUAACUAAUCCUGAUGGUAACUGAAGUGAGACUAUGCCGACGGCGAUUGCAUCAACCUUGGAACCAUUUCCCAUGCGCAUCGUCACUUCAUCCUUCGCCAGCCUUCGUUUAUUCCACAAUUCCUGCUUCAAGUUGCAAAUAUGAGCAACAGAACCGGUAUCAAAUACCCAGGAACUACUACGAGAGUUGUUUAAGUACACAUCAAUAACAUGUAUCACAUAUACCUGGUUUGGCGUUGGCCGCCUUCUUAUCAGCCAAAUACUUGGGGCAGUUGGGCUUCCAGUGACCCAUCCCCUUGCAAUAAUAGCACUCUGUUUCCGGCUUACGUCUAGUGUACGGUUUCUUCGUCGGAUUGGCAACAGUUUUGCCGCUCUUCUUGGAGUUACCCUUCUUGCCUAUGUCGUUUCUCUUGAAACCAGUGGUCUUAUUGACCAUCAACACCUGAUGUUCUUUCCGGAGUUCUGACUCUGCGACUUUCAGCAUCGCGAAUAACUCGUCAGGUGACUUGUUCAUCCCUUGCAUGUUAUAGUUCAACACAAAGCUCUUGUAGCUAGGUGGCAGUGAUUGAAGAAUUAUGUCAGUGAUAGCCUCUUGCGGAAGUUCAACUCCCACCUCAGCUAGACGGUUUGAGUACCCAAACAUUUUGAGCACAUGUUCACUGACAUACGAAUUCUCCUCCAUUUUGCAAGCAUAGAAUUUAUCAAAGGUCUCAUACCUCUCAAUCUGGGCAUUCUUCUGAAAGAUAAACUUCAACUCCUGGAACAUCUCAUAUGCUCCAUGAUGUUCAAAGCAUCAUUGAAGUCCCGGUUUUAAGCCAUACAAGGCUGCACAUUGAACUACUGAGUAGUCCUCCUUACGUGCUUGCCAAGCAUUCAAAACAUCUUGAUCAGACGUAGCGGGUUGUUCAUCUCCUAGCGCAGGAUCAAGGACAUAAUUCUUUUUCCCAGCUUGUAGGAUGAGCCUAAGAUUACGAGCCCAGUCUACAAAGUUGCUAUCAUCAUCUUUUAGCUUAGCUUUCUCUAGGAACGUAUUGAAAUUCAGGGUUGCUACUACAUGAGCCAUUGAUCUACAACAUAAAAUAUUGCAAAGUGGACUUAGACUAUGUUCAAGACAAUUAAGUUUUAAAUAAUCAAAUUACUAAUAAAACUCCCACUCAAAUAGACAUCCCUCUAGUUACUUGAGUGUGGCAUGAUCCAAAUUCACUAACUCAAGUCCAAUCAUCACAUGAGUUGAGUGUAGUUUCAGUGCUAAACAUCUCUAUGCUAAUCAUAUCGACUAUACGAUUCAUGCUCGACCUUUCAAUCUCUUGUGUUCUGAGUCCAUGUCUGCACAUGCUAGGCUUGUCAAGUUUAACCCGAGUGUUCCGCGUGUGCAACUAUUUUGCACCCGUUGUAUGUGAACGUUGAGUCUAUCACACCCGAUCAUCACGUGGUGUCUUGAAACAACGAACUGUCGCAACGGUGCACAGUCGGGGAGAACACAACUUUAUCUUGAAAUUUUAGAGAGGGGUCACCUUAUAAUGCUACCGUCGUUCUAAGCAAGAUAAGGUGCAUUACAAGGAUUAUCAUCACAUGCAAUUCAUAAGUGACAUGAUAUGGCCAUGAUCUUGAGCUUCUUGAUCUCCAUCACCAAAGCACCGGCAUGAUCUUCAUCGUCACCGGUGCCACACCAUGAUCUCCAUCAUCGUGCCGCCAUCGAGGUUUUCAUGCUAUCUAUGCUAUUACUACUAAAGCUACAACCUAGCAAUAUAGUAAACACAUUUGCAAACACAAACAUUAGUUUAAAGACAACCCUAUGGCUCAUGCUGGUUGUCGUAGCAUCAACGUGCAAGUCGAUAUUUAACUAUUACAACAUGAUCAUCUCAUACAUCCAAUAUAUCACAUCAUGACUUUGGCCAUAUCACAUCACAUGCACACCUUGCAAAAACAAGUUAGACGUCCUUUAAUUUGUCGUUGCAUGUUUUACGUAGCUGCUACGGGUAUCUAGUAUGAUCGCAUCUUACUUACGCAAAACCACAACGGAAAUGUGCAAAAUGCUAUUUAACCUUUCUCCAAGAACCGCCUCGGUCAAAUCCAAUUCAACUAAAGUUGAAGAAAUAGGCACCCGCCAGUCAUCUUUAUGCAACAAGUUGCAUGUUAGUCGAUGAAACAUGUCUCUCGUAAGCAUACGAGUAAUGUUGGUCCGGGCCGCUUCAAUCCAACAAUACUGCCGAAUCGAGAAAAGACUAAGGAGGGCAGCAAAUCGAACAUCAACUCCCACACAAAAAUUUGAGUUUUACUCGAGAUUACAUCUACGCAUGAACAUAGCUCAUGAUGCCACUGUUGGGGAACGUUGCAUGGGAAACAAAAAAAUUCCUACGCACACGAAGACCUAUCAUGGUGAUGUUCAUCUACGAGAGGGAGAUCGGAUCCACAUACCCUUGUAGAUCACAAAGAGGGAAGCGUUAAGAAACGCGGUUGAUGUAGUGGAACAGCUUCGUGAUUCAAAUCAUCGCCGUCCCAAGAUCUAUUCCGAUCUAGCGCCGAACGGACGACAGCUCUACAUUCAGCACACGUACAGCUCGAUGACGAUCUCCGCCUUCUUGAUCCACCAAGAGAGACGGGGAAGUAGAUGAGUUCUCCGGCAGCGUGAUGGUGCGCCGCUGAUGGUGAUGAUCUAUUCCUGCAGGGCUCCGCCCGAGCUCUGCAGAAAACCGAUCUAGAGGAAGAACUACGAAGUAGAGGUUUAGGGUUGCACGUGGCAAAGUUGUGUCUGAAAAACCCUAAAACCUCUAGUAUAUAUAGGAGGAGGGGAGGGGCAAGACUUGAGGCUCAAGAGAGACUCAAGGGCGCCGGCCAAGAGAGGAGGAGGAGGACUCCAACUCCAAUUCGGUUUAGGGAGGAGGAGUCCCCUCCUUCCUUCCCACCUCCCUCUUUUUUUUCCUUUGAUUUUUUCCUUCUAGCCGAAAUUGCCCACUUGGGUUGGCCUCACCAGCCCACUAAGGGCUGGUGCGCCACCCUUGGGCUAUUGGGUUCUCUCCCGGAUGGGUGGGCCCCUCCCGGUAAAGACCCGGAACCCAUUCGUCACUCCCGGUACACUGUCGGUAAUGCCCGAAAUCUUUCCGGAGGCCAAAUAAAACAAUCCUGUAUAUCAAUCUUCGUUUCUGGACCAUUGUGGAAACCCUCAUGAUGUAUGUGAUCUCAUCCGGGACUCUGAGAAACCUUCGGUCACCAACACCUAUAACUCAACUUUACCGAAACAUCACCGAACCUUAAGUGUGGAGACCCUGUGGGUUCGAGAACUAUGCACACAUGAAAUGGGACACUGCCCGGUCAAUAUCAAAUAUCGGGACCUGAUCUCCAUAUUGGAUCCUACAUAUUCUACGAAGAUCUUAUCGGUUGAACCUAUGUGCCAAUGAUUCAUAUAAUCACGUAUACCAUUCCCUUUGUCCUUCGGUAUGUUACUUGCCCGAGAUUUGAUUGUUGGUAUCCCUAUACCUAUUUCAAUCUCGUUACCGGCAAUUCUCUUUACUCGUUUCGUAAUACAAGAUCCGGUGACUAACACAUUAGCCACAUUGUUUGCAAGGCUUAUAUGUGAUGUUGUAUUACUGAGUGGGCCCCGAGAUACCUCACCGUCACACGGAGUGACAAAUCCCAGUUUUGAUCAAUGCUAACUCAACGGACACCUUCGGAGAUACUUGUAGAGCACCUUUAUUGUCAUCGAGUAACGUCGAUGUUUGAUACACAUAAGGCAUUCCUCCGGUGUCAUUGAGUUACAUGAUCUCAUGGUCAUAGGAAUGGAUACUUGACACGCAGAAAACAAUAGCAACAAAAUGACACGAUAACAUGGUACGUUUAUAGUUUGGGUCUUGUCCAUCACGUCAUUCUCCUAAUGAUGUGAUCCAGUCAUCAAGUGAUAACACUUGCAUAUGGUCAGAAAACCUUAAUCAUCCUUGAUCAACCGGCUAGUCAACUAGAGGCUUACUAGGGACAUUGUUUUGUCUAUAUAUCCACACAUGCAUUUAUGUUAUGAUUCAGUACAAUUAUAGCAUGGAUAAUAAAAGAUUAUCUUGAAACGGGAAAUAUAAUAAUAACUAUUUUAUCAUUGCCUCUAGGGCAUAUUUCCAACAAGAUCUGCAUGAAGUAGGCGAUCUCCUUUCCCUUACAAACACCUUGGUUUAACUCCACAACAUGAAGUAGGAGGCUCCCAAGAGACACCUAACCAAUCUAGGAGGCACCACCCUCUAAAAGUUAAUAGAUGUGGUAGAACAAUAAACUCCUUGUUCUUGUGCUUCAAAAGAUAGUCUCCUCAACACUCAAUCACUCUCUCUCAGAUUGGGCAGGGGUCGGAGCGAUUGAUCUUGUGGAAAGCACUUGGGGAGGCUAGAAAUCAAGGUUCGAAUGAUUGGAAUGGAAUCUCUAGAUCUCAACACAUGAGUAGGUGGCUCUCUCUUAGAAAAAUGGAUCUGGCAAGUGUAAGUGUGAUCUAAGUGCUUCCUCUAUGAAUAAGAGGUAGGUGGAGGGGUAAAUAUAGGCAUCCCCCAAAAUCCAACCGUUACACAUUAUUGCCCAACUCGGUGACAUCAAAAUGAAUCUCGGUGGUACCGAGUUGCACUAAAUGUGGCAACUUUUGAAUUCUCAAUGAGACCGAAAUAGGAAUCUCGGUGCUACUGAAACGAUGACCUAGACUGGUUUCCAAACUUUAGCCAAUCCUAGUCCUUCUCUUGCAUCAAAGGGCCAUCUGUUGGAAAUAUGCCCUAAAGGCAAUGAUAAAAUAGUUAUUAUUAUAUUUCUUGUUUCAAGAUAAUCGUUUAUUAUCCAUGCUAUAAUCGUAUUGAAUGAAAGCAUAGAUACAUGUGUGGAUAGAUAGACAAAACAAUAUCCCUAGUGAGCCUCUAGUUGACUAGCCAGUUGAUUAAGGAUGGUUAAGGUUUUCUGACCAUAUGCAAGUGUUGUCACUUGAUGACUGGAUCACAUCAUUAGGAGAAUGAUGUGAUGGACAAGACCCAAAUUAUAGUCCAAGGGUGGCUCACCAGCCCUUAGUGGGCUGGUGUGGCUAGCCCAAGUGGGCUAUGGCUCUGGGAAAGAAAAAAGCAAACGAAAAGGAAAAUAGAGGGAGGUGGGAAGGAAGAGGAGGACUCCUCCUUUCCCAAACCGAAUUGGAGUUGGAGUCCUCCUCUCCUCUCUCGACCGACGCCCUAGGGGCUCCCUUGAGCCCCAAGGCUAACCCCUGCCCUCCUCCGAUAUAUACUAGAGGUUUUAAGGUUUUUGAGACACAACCUUGCCACGUGCAACUCAAACCUCUACUUCAUAGUUCUCCCUCUAGAUUGGUUUUCCGCGGAGCUCGGGCGGAGCCCUGUAGGAUUGGAUCAUGACCAUCACCGGCGUGCCGUCACACUGUCGGAGAACUCAUCUACUUCCCCAUCUCUCUUGCUGGAUCAAGAAGGCGGAGAUCGUCAUCGAUCUAUAUGUGUGUUGAACGCGGAGGUGCCAUCCGUUCGGCGCUAGAUCGGAACGGAUCGUGGGACACCAGUGAUUUGAAUCAUGAAGCUGUACCACUACAUCAACCGCGUGUCUUAACGCUUCCCGCUUAGCGAUCUACAAGGGUAUGUGGAUCCGAUCUCCCUCUCAUAGAUGGACAUCACCAUGAUAGGUCUUCGUGUGCGUAGGAAUUUUUUUUACCCAUGCAACGUUCCCCAACACCAUCUCCACACAAUCCUAUAGCCAAAGCAUCUUUAAACUUUUCUGAAAUGUACUUGGAUGAAUUCAUUAGUCCAAUGGUACAUACAUUGUGAUUAAUUACACAAACUACCAUAGGGAGCAAUUGUGCUUUCACCUUGACAAGACCGAAACAUACCUUUAUAACUACCCAAUUGUGGAGUAGCAUUCGAUCGGCUGAAAGCAAGUUUGUCACCAUCCUGAGUACAUGCGCUAGCUCAGAUCUUAGGACAACGUAUGUUGUACUAUAGAAUUACAUAUGACUUAUCGUUGUGUCUCAUAGUUUGGUGUGUCCAACUUGUUAUCUCGACUCGGAUUUGAAUACGUCGAAUCUGAACAGAUCUUUCUUAGUCCAUACGAUCUGGCUUGCAUCCGAUGCUACAUGGUCAGUAAGACCGACCCAUCCAGCAUGUCAUAUGCUAGUCUACUUGGUUGCGCAUCCACACAACCCUUUCGACUAGGGACCAUUUAGGAAAGUCAUCAUACAAUCCAUAGUCUCACAAAUAAGUCACGUACUUGUUAAUACACAUCACUGAUAAUGUCCAAGGACUAUAUUUAUUCAAAAUCACAUAGGAAAUAUCAUCAUACAUGAUUCACUCAUCAUAAGUCAUAGGACUCUGAGUCUUGCUUAGCCUUAUACCAUGUGAUACGGGCAAUAACUCUUUAUUGGCCUCACUCAUGUUGAACUGCUUCAACACUUUGCCUAUGUACGUGCUCUGGCUUAAGCCAAGAAACAUGCUCGAUCUAUCUCUAUAGACCUUGAUGCCUAAAAUAUACACUACUUCUCCAAGGUCUUUCAUCGAAAACUUGCCAUUCAAUGCUUCCUUGACUUAGUUCAGCAUCGAAACAUCACUUUCGAUCAACAGUAUGUCAUCCACAUACAAGACCAAAAACACUAUCAAGCUCCCACUAGACUCUUUGUAUAAACAAUAGUCCUCUUUGUUCUUGCUGAAACCAAGGUCAAUGAUGACUUCAUCAAAACAAACAUUCGAACUCCAAGCUACUUGCCUCAAGACAUAAAUGGGACUAUUGAGCUUGAAUGUUUUACCAGUGUUAGUUGGAUCGACAAAACCUUCCGGUUGUAUCAUGUAUGCAUCCUCUAUAAAUUUUCAUGAAGGAAAGCCAUUUUGGCAUCCAUCUUCCAUAUCUCAUAAUAGAAAUAUGCAACUAUAGCUAGUAUGAUCCUAACCGAUUUUAGCAUCACUUCCGAAGAGUAGGUCCCGUCGUAGUCAAUUCCUUCAACCUGACCAUAACCUUUGGCGACAAGCCGAGCAUUGUGGAUCUGAACAUUUCCAUCCACAUCAUUCUUCUUUUUAAAGACACAUUUGCAACCAAUGGCUAUUACGCCAUGCGACGGAUCUACCAAGUACCAAACUUGAUUGUCAUCCAUGGACUUCAACUCAUAUCUCAUGGCCUAUACGCAUGCCUCAGAAUCUAGGCUAACCAUCGCUCUCGCAUAUGUGGCCGAAUAAUCACUUUCUAGCAACAACACAUCAUGCACUUUGCAUAAUCUUUCCGACCUGUGUGGCUCCGGUGCUGACUACGUUAUGGGUUCCCUCACUAACUCCCGUAUGAUCUCACUACCAGCUGAGUCAUCCCUGAGUGGCUCUUGUAUUUCUUUGAGUCACACCGCUCUCCCACUAGCUUCUCAACUGAGAAACUCUACCUUUAGGAAAAAAAACUGUUCUGAGCAACAAACACUUUGUUCUCUUCUUGGUUGUACAAGUUGUAUCCCAAGGUUUCCCUCGGAUAUCCCACAAAUAUGCAUUUAUACGACUUGGGUGUAAACUUGUCCGACAUGAGUCACUUGAAAAAUGCUUCACAACACCAAAUCUCUAGAAAAGAAAAACUAGGACUCUUCCCUAUCCAUAUCACAAGUGGUAUCAUUCUGUGGAUUUUGAUGGUACCCUCUUAAGUGUGGAAGUUGUAGUUUCUAGAGCAUGUCCCUAGAAUGACAAGGGUAAGUUCAAAUUUCUCAUCACAGACCGUACCAUGUCUAACAAAGUUUGAUUUCUUCGUUCUGGCAUGUCGUUUCUCCAUGGCAUACCCGGAGGUGUGAGCUCACUACAAGAAAUAAGCUCGUUUAUGACAAAAAAUAAUGGCCGCGGUUGAAUUGGUCAUAGAUCUAUGACUAAAAUUUACAAGAAGGUCAUGAGGUGUCUAAGAGGGUCCAAACCCCAGAAAUUUUUGACCAUCUCUAUCAACAAGGUCAUAAUCCCAUUACACAAAAUGGUCACUGGCAUGUGUAGCUCUAUUUAUGCUCGCAUUGUAGGUCCUCCAUGACAAAAUUAAGAAGGUCAUAGGCUUAAAUAGAGGUGACUGGGCAGACAACUCGACAAUUUUUCCUAUGUGUCUUGUAUAGGUGCCGACAAGGCCACAAAGUAUAAGUACGUUCAGAGGUCGGACCCAUAAGUUGAAUUGUUGACCCAACUUACUUGUGGCAUCGAGAUUCGACGUGUGGGGCCGUGUUGGACCCACUGACUUCCUGUCAUGCGCGGGGAGGCUACCCUAGCUCGCAGGUGGGACCAACUAAUUGGGCAUGCUAAUGAAGGAUGUGUUCAAAAGAAGAUAGCUUAACUUGGUAUUUCAGAAAAAAAAUACACAUUAUCUGUCAAAUCCCUGAUCCCAAUUAGGGUUUAGCAAGUUUGAGCUCAUAUUUUCUUCCAUUGCAUCUUAAGAUUUUGAAUUGCACUCAAGGAAGGAAAAUAAAUCCAAAUCAAAGUAAAGAAAACCAAAGCAAAACCCUAGCCAUCUUUUAUUCAAAAGAAUUCCAACAAGUGCCAAAUCAAUGAACCCAAAAUGGCCAUUAGAAAAGUUCAUCCUUUCUGAUAAAUGUAGAAAAUAAUAUAUCAGAGAUGAAACCUAUUUUCAAAAUACUUUUGCCAUUUUAAAUUGAAGUUAAAAGCUACUGAAAUCAACUAUAUAUUUGAUUUCAAAUAAUUCAAAGUUUCCAAAAAUGUUGAAAACUUUACGAGUGGUUGGAAAUAUUCCAACUAACACUCUGGUAGUUUUCAAACUAUUUUAGGAAUAGUUUGGAGCCAAAAAUAAAACAAAACAAAUGUCAGAAAGAAAAAAAAACAGAAAAGAAAAGAAAUGCAAAAAGUCUUACCUGUCGCUCACCUGGCCCAGGCCCAGCUGCUCCCCGUCGUCUUCCUUGCCAGCGAGCAGCAGGAGGUGGCCGCCACUCGUUCCGGCGCGGCCACGCACCUGUGCGUCUGCCUGGCCACCGCAUCGCGCUGGCGCACAGGGGAUAAGCUCCCCGAAGGCCUUCCCGUGCUCAUCCCCUCGCCAUUCGACCCUACUCUCUUCUCCCCUCUCGUCCGCCAUGACCGCAAGCUUGAGCUCGAGCUCGCCGUCACUCCAGCCACUCUCCCUCUCACCUGAGCUGCGCGUUAGCUUCGCCGUGAUCUCCUAAAACUCUCCAGCCAGUCGCUCGAUGCCGAGAAGCUCUGAAACGCUGUGACGCCGUCAUCUUCCUCCUCGGGUCACCGAAGCUCGCCACCGUCGUUCUCCCUCCUCAGGCCAUCCCCGAGCCCACUCUCGAUGCCUCUGCACUCCCCGUGAGCUCAGGGUUCUUUCCCCCAAGUUUUACCCCUCGAUCCCUUCCUCUAGGCCCCGAUUCCACUGGAGCCCGACGAGAUCCGCCGCGGAACCUCGUCGCCGGUAGCUCGCCGGUGAUCGGCUGGUCAUUCUGAGGCCACCAAUGGCUUCAGUGCGUCGCGUACAUGGUGUAGGAGCAAAGCCCCGCGCGAAAUGCCCUCUGUUUUGAUGAUCCCAUUAUAGCCCGAGCUUCGGCCUCCGCCAAGCUCGUCACCGGCGUUAUCUCCGGCCAUCUUAGCCUCGGUUCUUUGCAGAAAUGGAACUGCGGCUGAGUGCUGGUUCGUUUGGUGCCCUGCGCGUGAAGUUUGGUCGCCGGAAUGAGAUUCCCGAGCCCGUCCGCCACCUGUGUGGUCGCCGGAGGCUCACCGCUAGCGAGAUCGACCUCGCCGCCGGUGGAUCUGACUCCCCAGAGUCACUGGCAUGUGGCGCCAGCCCCCUGACUAAUUAAGUUAGGUUAAUAAAAAUAAUUAAUUAAAUAAAAGCUUAAACGAACACUGACAGGUGAGUCUUACUCUGUAAAUUAGAUAAUUAAGUUAAAUUUAAACUAAGACAUGGCCAAAGUCACUGACCAGUGGGUCCCACUGGUCAGGUUUGACUUUCAGCGGCCAGUUGGACCUGCUGAUGUCAUGCUGAUGCAAUAAAACCUUUACAGUUUAAAAACAAUUCCAGAAUAAGUUCAAAACUUUGGAAAUUCAUAGAAAAUUGAAUAUAACUCCAAAUUUGACCAAUAAUAUAUGUAAAAGGAUCAGAAAAAUUCAAGGAAUCCAAUGGUGCUAUUUUCAUGCAUGAAGAACAAAGUGAUGAAACAAGAUCAGGUCAAAUCAAUUAAAAGAAUAUGAUAAAUUAUAAUUCAAAUGAUAUUUGAAUUAUGAUUUCAAAUCAAGAUCACCCAAAGGGUUCUGCUAGUCAUCUCAAACCAUGCUACAUUGCAUUUCAUGCAUCAUUUUGUUGCAUAUGUUUGAUAUUGAUUGAUUGUUGUUAUUCCGGUAGGCUCCGCCCCUCCGGAUACAUCUGAUUAUCCGACUCACGGAUAUCACCCCUCUGCUGAGCAACAAGGCAAGCAACUAUUUUGAUCAUCUCGAUAAAUCCCAUGUUCUCGCUCCUGCUCUUACUUAAUGCAUUAGGUCAAAAUGCUUUCAACGCUUUUACCACGUUAGUUGAACCCACUUCCUUUGCAUGACCUGUCCUUGUCACGGUAAAUAGCUGAACCUUGCAACCUAGCAUACCUGGUAGAUGCUUGAGCCAUGAUGUGUCUUUUCCUGCAAUGCAUGCUAUGCUUAGAGUUGUGUAUGGUCUGUCAUCUGGGUGAUGAACAGGAUCGUGAGAAUGUGUUGAGUUAGUAAAGGUUGUGUGUUGACCCUGAUUUGGUAAAGGUACUGGUGAAAGGCUAUGUAGGAGUACAUGGCGGGUUGUUUCAUUGGAACCGUCCUUAGGAACUGAGUUCCGUGUAUGUAAUCCAUGACAAGAUACUACCACAUGCUGGGCCCUGAAAUAUGACCCCGCUCAACUUAUUAACCGCUUAGUACUCGGUCCAGGAGUUGCAAGUAGUUUCUGGUGUUUAUAGUCAUGCUGGAGGCCGUGCGUAGCGCUGACCUUAGAGGUGGGCUAUGAUGCGGUAGGCAGUGGCACGGUGUACCAAGUGGCACCCGGAUGGUGGGCUUGGGAACCCUGCGCACAUCGUUUGGGACCAUGGCGGAAUCCUCGGCCGGACUUCCGUGCGGGUUACCCUCAGAUAGGCGAUAGACCUCGACUAAGUAUUAGCGUGGUUAACGGUUGUGGCCGACUCCCUCGUUGGGCUUCCGCUUGAAGGUUGCCGAGGUGCAUGCUGUGCACAUGGUGAUAAGUGGCAAGAGUGUGUGUGAAGAAGUACACCCCUGCAGGGUUAUGAUCUAUUCGAAUAGCCGCGUCCGCGGAUAUGGACUACUUGGAAACAUAUGUUGUUCAUAGAUAACUAUAAUGGCUACUCAUAAAAUUGUCAAGAUAAGUGUGAGUGUCGUGGACGACAUUUUCGUAGGGAGACGGAAUGAUUCCACGAUGGAGUAUUGUUGUGGUGUUAGUGGACUCGUGUGCGAGAAAUCAAAGUUGUCAGAAUUAUUCAAAAAUGCAAGUUGUCUAGCCAAGAGUCAAAUCCUGGCUUUCCGCAUGAAACGCCACAACUCCUUGUUGAUACAUUGCAUGAGUAGAUAGAUUUCCUAAAGUCUUGCUGAGUACUUUCGUACUCACAUUUGCUUAAUAAAUUGUUGCAGAGAUUGUUAAUGACCCUAAUGGAGGGUUCUACCUAGACGUUGACGAUGACGAGUAGCUGGUAUCACAGCUACGAUCUGGCCCUAGGUUGGGUCUGUAGAUAGUCAGACCAUGUGCCUUUAUCUUUCCAUCUGUCUGUACUCAGACAGUUUUAAUCUUCCGUUGCAUUGUAAAACUCGUAUGUAUGACUUGUGAUGAUGGGUCGUAAGACCCCUAUCUGUGUAAUACUAUAUGUGAGGUUCUUCCGAGCCAUCUAAAUAAAGGUUGUAUGUUUAUGGUUAUGUUGUGAUGCC